rnacentral:misc_RNA from 1 species
UCAGAUGUGUCGUCCACGGGG